UUAUUGGGCAGGGAGGGGUUAGGCCCAGCUGAGCUAACACUAUUCACCCAGGGGCAGGGAUAUAGGCGUAUUGACAAGCGAUUGAAGACCCUUGUUUUUCCCAUUAGCAUUCUCCUAGAUUUUGUGCUGGCCUUAGCCUAGGAUACCUGGUCUGCAAGCCAGAGUUAAUGGCUGGGUAUCUGUUCUGGGAUAGAGUUACUGCUACUAGCAAGAAUAGCUCAUUGCUCAUUCUCCUGUAUUGACUUUACCCAGAAACUGUUAAAUGCAGUUAUAUCUACUCUGCAAAUUGGCCAGCCCUUGCACUUGGUUUCUAGUGGAUUAAAGGCAUACCAAAUCCUUUUCUUUUCUUUUAGUAAGGGAACAACUGAAAGAGCUUACCAAGCAGUAUGAAAAAUCUGAAAAUGACCUCAAGGCUUUGCAAAGUGUUGGACAGAUUGUUGGUGAGGUUCUUAAGCAGUUAACAGAAGAGAAAUUCAUUGUGAAAGCUACAAAUGGACCAAGAUAUGUGGUUGGCUGUCGUCGUCAGGUAACUUUGCUUUGCUUGGAUGUUUCUAAAUGGCUUGAUCUAAUAUGCAAUUAUAUGUAUUAUAGUCAUUUUUCUUGUUAUGCUUUUAAAGUUAGCAAGUUCGUACUUCACUUUUUAAGCUGCACUUGGCUAACAACAUAUAGAUGUGGUACUCUCUGCACCCUAGUGAUAGGUAGUGAUAUGCCAGGAAUGCUGGAAUGAAUUCUUGGGAAUAAUAAAGCAAAGCGGACACAGUCCAAGAUGUUAUGUUUUUUUGUUGUUGUUUUGUUUUUUAGUUUUUCAGCUUGUUCCUUCUUAUAAAGUUAAGUAUAAGCUAUUAAGCCUAUUCCAGAACCUCAUUCCUUAAAUGUUUAGAAACCUUCUAAUUUCUAUCUUAAAUCUACUCAUGGCCAGUUUAUCCUCAUUUGUUCUUCUGCCAGAGUUGUCCUUUAGCUUAAAUAGCUCUUCUCCUUCCCUGCUGUUUACCCACUUGAUGUAUUUUAGAAAGAGCAAUCCUUUUCCCUCUCCGCCUUUGUUUUGCCAAGCUCUGCUAGCCGAGCUCUUUUAGGUUCCUCCCAUAAGAUAGAUUUUCCAUUCCCCUUAUCAUCCUAGUAGGACUUCUCUGUACCUGUUCCAAUUUGAAUUCAUCUUUCUUGAAUGUGGGUGAGCAGAGUUGUCCACAGUAUUCCAGAUAAGGUCUUAGAAACUUUGACUGUUUGGGAAGGUUUCACUUCCAUUGUUAACCACAGGGUCUGCACAACCUCCCUUUGGCUUCCUUUGUGACUUUCCCUUCUCCAUCCUAGUUGAAAACUGAAUUCAUAGUCCAGUGCAUUAGGCCUAACUUCAUGAAACUGUUUUUUCCCUUGAUAGCCUCCCAAUCCACCCCACUGACUACUUUUUGUGACAGUCAAAAAUCAGCUACAACUCUACUACAGGACAUGACUAGCUUUCUCUCUAAAUGACCUUGCAGAACCUUUAUGCUUUGUGUUCAAGAGUCUGGUGUCUGUCUGCCUAGAUUUUAUAAGGUGGUUCAUUGCUCAUGAGAUCUGAGUAUAUUUCACACAAAAUAAACCCUCUUCUAAAAUAAUUCCAAUUCUUCCCUAUUCCUUGCCAGCAGGAAUAAACUUCAAGUUACUCUUGGGAUUUUUGUAUAAAAAUGUGAGAUGCUGAUUUCAGAGGGUUAUUGCAGGAAAUGACACUAGAGAAAGACAACCAUUCCUCCACCUUUUUCCUGCUACCUCAUAUACUUUUAUCAAAAUGAAAAUGAAUGAGAUGGUGCUGUUGCCAUAGCCAAUGAUAUGACAUUUUAGGCUGCUGGCAUUGGAAAGAAAACAGUAAGGGCCUGUCUACACUGCCACUUUACAGCGCUGCAACUUUCUCGCUCAGGGGUGUGAAAAACACCCCCCUGAGCGCUGCAAGUUUCAGCACUUAAAGUGCCAGUGUAGACAGUGCUACAGCGCUGGGAGCCACUCCCCUUGUGGGGGUGGGAGAAUUCUCUUCCAGCGCUGGUGCCAUGACUACACGGCCACGUUAAAGCGCUGCCAGCAAAGACAUACCCUAACAUGGCGCUGUUAGGGACUGUUUACCUGGUAUUGGGCCACUAAAUGGUAUGGACUGAAAAUGUGAUCUAUUUUUGAUGUUUAGCAGGGAAUAGCCAUCUGAUGUUGGGUUUUUUGUUUUAAAUCUACUUUCCAAGGUGUCUUUUAAUUCACUUUUUAUGUAGGGCCUGUUCAUUGAAAGUGGUCUGAAUUGUAGAACCAGCAGAGGGAGUACAAAUUAAUCCCUAGUUGGUGAUGUCGAUACAUACUUUAUGUAUAAAGCAUGAAAUGAAAAGAAAUGCCCUUAAGUUUCAAGUUUCAUAUGUG